GGGAGCUGCAGCGGAAGCGCGCAGCUCCUCUCAGGCAGUUCAAGGGGCCAUGAGACAGAGCUACGUGAGGCAGUGUCUGCUGUCUUCGGCUCCCACUGUAGUGUAAGCUGCUGCAUUCCCCUCCCCUUUGUUGUAUACACGCCCCGGGAGUCCAUGGUGAUGGUGAUGCUGACGUGCGCUGUUCGGCGCGAUGACGUCAUCUUUGAGUGACGCGGCCGGGGAGCCGGGUCCCGGCGGCGAACACACUUGAGCACAUGUGGUGAGGGGAUAUAAGUCUGGAGACGGGCACUGUGGUGACGUCCGUAUCCGACGCCUGACAGCGGGAGACGCCGUAGACCCGGCAGGAGAUUCGUGCACUAUAUAGACCCCGGAAGCAACACCCAGCACAGAGAAGAUGUCACAUUCGCUGCCCCUCGCCGCUGAAGCUGCAAUAGCUCUACCAGAGGUUAAAGCAGGAAAGCAGCUUAAAUAACUAUGGCAAGUCAGAUCUAGAGGCCCUGGGACGUGCACACAAGGACGAGGUGGGAACCACCCAAAUAUCCCUGUAAACAUUUCUGCAUCACGGCCACCGCCACCAAAGGAGGGAGAGGACUGAUGACUGCAAUUCGAUCAAUGAAGGGACUCCACAAAGAAGGAACAUUUGCCACCAAACUAUAAAGACUCAAACAAAGGGAGAAGACGUGUGCAAAAAUCUGUUUGAAAAUGUGAAACAGGAGACAGAUUUCUACCAGAGAGAAGUUGAGAGAUUUAUAAGAAAGUGACAGCACUGACUGGUGAUUCAAGCACUGGGUUUCGGGAGAAGGCAGAAGGCAACAAAAGAGAACAUACAUAAAACAUACUUAAAAAUUAAGAUGGGAAAAGCAGUAACAGAAGAAGCCGAGAAUUCAAAUUCAUCGUUAAAAUACAAGAUGUGUUUAACUCAGACUAGUGAAAUCCAUACUAAUGACUCCCUUCUCCCCCAGCUCAUUAAAUAUAAAUACACUAAUAUAGCACUCUGGCCUUGUCCUCAGGCAGAAUUUACCCCAACAGGAUAAUAAAUUGUAAAACAUUUAGGAGAAAGUACAUUUCUUUACACCGUUGAAUUACUCUGUCCAGUCAAAUAUUCUCCGAAUUACACGUGUUGAGACUGUGUUCUGAAAUGUACUUAUUUUGUAAUGUACAGUAAUGGUAUUUAAAUUUAGCUAUGUUUUUGUUUUGUAAUUAUUAAAAAGGAUCAAUUU